rnacentral:snRNA from 1 species
GUGUUCACUUCAGCAGCACAUAUACUAAAACUGGAAUGACACAGAGAAGAUUAACAUGGCCCUAUGCAAGGGUGACACUCAAAUUCAUGAAGUGUUCCAUACUUUU